CACGUAGGGCGCAAGCGUUGUCCGGAAUUAUUGGGCGUAAAGAGCUCGUAGGUGGUUUGUUACGUCCGCUGUGAAAUCCUAGGGCUUAACCCUGGGCUUGCAGUGGAUACGGGCAGACUAGAGGUAGGUAGGGGAGAAUGGGAUUCCUGGUGUAGCGGUGAAAUGCGCAGAUAUCAGGAGGAACACCGGUGGCGAAGGCGGGUCUCUGGGCAACAACUGACGCUGAGGAGCGAAAGCGUGGGGAGCGAACAGG
rnacentral:rRNA from 1 species